rnacentral:rRNA from 1 species
CCCUUAGAUGUUCUGGGCCGCACGCGCGCUACACUGAUGCAUUCAACAAGCCUAGCCUUGACCGAGAGGUCCGGGUAAUCUUUGAAACUGCAUCGUGAUGGGGCUAGAUUAUUGCAAUUAUUAAUCUUCAACGAGGAAUGCCUAGUAAGCGUGAUUCAUCAAAUCGCGUUGAUUACGUCCCUGCCCUUUGUACACACCGCCCGUCGCUCCUACCGAUUGAAUGUGUUGGUGAGGAGCUCGGAUUGGCAGCAGUUGGUGGUUCGCCACCGGCUAUUGCUGAGAAGUCCUCCAAACCGCCCCAUUGAGAGGAAGGAGAAGGCGGAACA